rnacentral:rRNA from 1 species
ACUCCUACGGGAGGCAGCAGUAGGGAAUAUUGGGCAAUGGAUGCAAGUCUGACCCAGCCAUGCCGCGUGGAGGAAGAAGGUCCUCUGGAUUGUAAACUCCUUUUGUCGGGGAAGAAUAGUUCUCUUGCGAGGGAAAGUGACGGUACCCGAUGAAUAAGCCACGGCUAACUACGUGCCAGCAGCCGCGGUAAU